rnacentral:rRNA from 1 species
UACAGAGGUCUCAAGCGUUGUUCGGAUUCAUUGGGCGUAAAGGGUGCGUAGGCGGCGCGGUAAGUCGGGUGUGAAAUCUCGGAGCUUAACUCCGAAACUGCAUUCGAUACUGCCGUGCUUGAGGACUGGAGAGGAGACUGGAAUUUACGGUGUAGCGGUGAAAAUGCGUAGAUAUCGUAAGGAAGACCAGUGGCGAAGGCGGGUCUCUGGACGAGUU